GUGUCAGCAGCCGCGGUAAUACAGAGGUCCCGAGCGUUGUUCGGAUUCACUGGGCGUAAAGGGUGCGUAGGUGGUGAGGUAAGUUUGUGGUGAAAGCUCCGGGCCUAACCCGGAAAAUGCCUCGAAUACUAUCUCGCUAGAGGGUUGUAGGGGAGACUGGAAUUCUCGGUGUAGCAGUGAAAUGCGUAGAUAUCGAGAGGAACACCAGUGGCGAAGGCGAGUCUCUGGACAACUCCUGACACUGAGGCACGAAAGCCAGGGGAGCAAACGGGAUUAGAUACCCCCGUAGUCC
rnacentral:rRNA from 1 species